UCAUAGACUUAGCCUCUAACUUGUCUGUCUGUUAUCUUUUGACGUAGACUGGAUAUCUCCAAAUCUUAAGAUGGCCAAGACUUGAUUUCUUACCAUGCCACAUUUCAUAUGGCAUAGUGGCAUAGUAGGAACAGACUUAAAAGGUACUCUAAUUAACAAAUAGAUUGUAGAAAGUAAAGCAUAUCUCCAAAGAAAUAAGGAUAAAUCAAUGAAGCUCAUCAUG
rnacentral:lncRNA from 1 species